AAUAUUAGUAUCCGUUGCUUGCGUACGCUGGCCGGAUGUCUUGGAUGAACAUUGCUGUGUCUGGCUGCCAUGUGGUGGUGCUGAUCGGCACAUCCGAAAGUUGUUUACGGCGAUGUGAAGUGCUUCGGUGGUAGCAAUGUUGAAGACUUGUGUUUUCGCUUUCAGCCUUGAAGUAUGGAGCAUAUGCGUUUACGUGUUGAAGGUCGGGUUGGCUGCGUAGAGCGGUUCAGCGUUGACCGUGAAGCUUGUGACCUCGAAUCAGGUGGGAGUACCCGCUGAACUUAAGCAUAUCAAUAAAGCGGAGGAAAAUAAACCAACUGGGAUUGCCUUAGUAACUGCGAGUGAAGCGGCAAAAGCUCAAAUUUGAAAUCUGGCACAAGCCCGAGUUGUAAUUUGCAGAGGAUGCUUCGACGUCGGACGCCGGCUUAAGUUUUCUGGAACGAAGCGUCAUAGAGGGUGAGAACCCCGUGAAUGGUUGGCCGUUUUGACGUCAUAUGUAGCUCCUUCAACGAGUCGAGUUGUUUGGGAAUGCAGCUCUAAGUGGGAGGUAAAUUUCUUCUAAGGCUAAAUAUAGGCCAGAGACCGAUAGCGAACAAGUAGAGUGAUCGAAAGAUGAAAAGCACUUUGAAAAGAGGGUUAAAAAGUACGUGAAAUUGUUGAAAGGGAAGCGCUUGCGGUCAGACUUGCUCGUGAUUGCUCAAUUCAUCGUCGUGGUGAGUGUAAUCAAUCUUGAGCAGGCCAACAUCAGUUUGGGCGGUGAGAUAAUGGCUCGGAAAAUGUAGCUUUCUCUCGGGAAAG
rnacentral:rRNA from 1 species